rfam:Ictidomys tridecemlineatus contig078078, whole genome shotgun sequence.
GGGGUUGUGGCUCAGUGGUAGAGCACUCACCUCGCACGUGCGAGACCCUGGGUUAGAUCCUCAGCAACACAA